rnacentral:misc_RNA from 1 species
UUGGAAGUAAAGUCGUAACAAGGUUUUCCGUAGGUGAACCUUUCGGAAGGAUCAUUACCGCGUGCGGGCUGCCUCCGGGCGCCCAACCUCCCACCCGUGACUACCUAACACUGUUGCUUCGGCGGGGAGCCCCCCAGGGGCGAGCCGCCGGGGACCACUGAACUUCAUGCCUGAGAGUGAUGCAGUCUGAGCCUGAAUACAAAUCAGUCAAAACUUUCAACAAUGGAUCUCUUGGUUCCGGCAUCGAUGAAGAACGCAGCGAACUGCGAUAAGUAAUGUGAAUUGCAGAAUUCAGUGAAUCAUCGAGUCUUUGAACGCACAUUGCGCCCCCUGGCAUUCCGGGGGGCAUGCCUGUCCGAGCGUCAUUGCUGCCCUCAAGCCCGGCUUGUGUGUUGGGUCGUCGUCCCCCCCGGGGGACGGGCCCGAAAGGCAGCGGCGGCACCGUGUCCGGUCCUCGAGCGUAUGGGGCUUUGUCACCCGCUCGAUUAGGGCCGGCCGGGCGCCAGCCGGCGUCUCCAACCUUAUUUUUCUCAGGUUGACCUCGGAUCAGGUAGGGAUACCCGCUGAACUUAAGCAUAUCAAUAAGCGGAGGA